rnacentral:rRNA from 1 species
AUUGAACGCUGGCGGCAUGCCUUACACAUGCAAGUCGAACGGUAACGCGGGGGCAACCCUGGCGACGAGUGGCGAACGGGUGAGUAAUACAUCGGAACGUACCCAGUAGUGGGGGAUAGCUCGGCGAAAGCCGGAUUAAUACCGCAUACGACCUAUGGGUGAAAGCGGGGAUCGCAAGACCUCGCGCUAUUGGAGCGGCCGAUGUCGGAUUAGCUAGUUGGUGAGGUAAAGGCNCACCAAGGCUACGAUCCGUAGCUGGUCUGAGAGGACGACCAGCCACACUGGGACUGAGACACGGCCCAGACUCCUACGGGAGGCAGCAGUGGGGAAUUUUGGACAAUGGGCGAAAGCCUGAUCCAGCCAUGCCGCGUGUGUGAAGAAGGCCU